rnacentral:rRNA from 1 species
AGUGAACGCUGGCGGUAGGUCUAACACAUGCAAGUCGAACGGUAGCACAGUAAGAGCUUGCUCUUACGGGUGGCGAGUGGCGGACGGGUGAGGAAUACAUCGGAAUCUACUUUUUCGUGGGGGAUAACGUAGGGAAACUUACGCUAAUACCGCAUACGACCUACGGGUGAAAGCAGGGGAUCUUCGGACCUUGCGCGAUUGAAUGAGCCGAUGUCGGAUUAGCUAGUUGGCGGGGUAAAGGCCCACCAAGGCGACGAUCCGUAGCUGGUCUGAGAGGAUGAUCAGCCACACUGGAACUGAGACACGGUCCAGACUCCUACGGGAGGCAGCAGUGGGGAAUAUUGGACAAUGGGCGCAAGCCUGAUCCAGCCAUACCGCGUGGGUGAAGAAGGCCUUCGGGUUGUAAAGCCCUUUUGUUGGGAAAGAAAAGCAGCAGGUUAAUACCCCGCUGUUCUGACGGUACCCAAAGAAUAAGCACCGGCUAACUUCGUG